AUUGAACGCUGGCGGCAGGCCUAACACAUGCAAGUCGAGCGGAUGAAGGGAGCUUGCUCCUGGAUUCAGCGGCGGACGGGUGAGUAAUGCCUAGGAAUCUGCCUGGUAGUGGGGGAUAACGUCCGGAAACGGGCGCUAAUACCGCAUACGUCCUGAGGGAGAAAGUGGGGGAUCUUCGGACCUCACGCUAUCAGAUGAGCCUAGGUCGGAUUAGCUAGUUGGUGGGGUAAAGGCCUACCAAGGCGACGAUCCGUAACUGGUCUGAGAGGAUGAUCAGUCACCCUGGAGCUGGAACACGGACCAGACUCCUACGGGAGGCAGCAGUGGGGAAUGUUGGGCAAAGGGCGAAAGCAUGGUCCAGCCAGGCCGCGCGUGUGAAGAAGGUCUUCGGAUUGUAAAGCACUUUAAGUUGGGAGGAAGGGCAGUAAGUUAAUACCUUGCUGUUUUGACGUUACCAACAGAAUAAGCACCGGCUAACUACGUG
rnacentral:rRNA from 1 species